UGCUCAGGUCUUCUUGUCUGUUUAUCAGAUU
rnacentral:piRNA from 1 species